rnacentral:lncRNA from 1 species
UGCACUAACAGUAUAUGAAAACACACACCUAAAUCAAUCAAUCAGUCAAAAGCUCACACAUCGAAAUCCUAGUUAAACACUUGCAAAGUGUCCUAUAAAACCUGUGCCUAUAAAUAUGUUACAUGCUUAUAUAUGCAUGCCUAAACCAUGACUACAAACUAGCAUAUAAGCAUUCCUAAGGUGUAAAUAUACAUAACCAACAAUUCCUAGUGUGUAAGUUUGCCUAUCACUACAUGUAAGAAAAGAUAAUGGUUGGUAACCUAGACAGAGAAUUUUACUUUUGUGUGUGUAAUAAAAUAAAUGCAAAACACCUAAAAAAUAUAUAUGUCUAUGAAGGUAAGUAUUUAAAAUACUUUUAUAUAGGUUUACAAAGUGUGUAUUGCCUGGACCAAGUUAGAAAUUCAGUUCGUAUGAACCAAAAAAUAGAACCCUUAUUUACGGGUUGAAAACACAAAAAUGUAUACCUUGCACUAUUUGUGCAUACUUC